AACGAACGCUGGCGGCAGGCCUCAAGCAUGCAAGUCUAGGGGGUGUAGCAAUACAUCACCGGCGGACGGGUGCGUAACACGUGGGAAUAUACCUUUUGGUUCGGAACAACGCAGGGAAACUUGCGCUAAUACCGAAUGUGCCCUUACGGGGAAAGAUUUAUCGCCAAAGGAUUAGCCCGCGUAGGAUUAGCUAGUUGGUGAGGUAAUGGCUCACCAAGGCUCCGAUCCUUAGCUGUUCUGAGAGGAAGAUCAGCCACACUGGGACUGAGACACGGCCCAGACUCCUACGGGAGGCAGCAGUUGGGAAUCUUGGACAAUGGGGGAAACCCUGAUCCAGCCAUGCCGCGUGAGUGAUGAAGGCC
rnacentral:rRNA from 1 species